UGCUAAGCCCAGAAAGGCCUUUGGUACC
rnacentral:piRNA from 1 species